rnacentral:rRNA from 1 species
AAAUGAAUAGACGGGGGCCCGCACAAGCGGUGGAGCAUGUGGUUUAAUUCGAUGAUACGCGAGGAACCUUACCUGGGCUUGAACGCAUUUUGACAGGCUGGGAAACCAGCCCUUCUUCGGACAAUUUGCGAGGUGCUGCAUGGUUGUCGUCAGCUCGUGCCGUGAGGUGUCGGGUUAAGUCCCAUAACGAGCGCAACCCCUAUCACUAGUUGCCAACAGGUAAUGCUGGGGACUCUAGUGAAACUGCCCGUGCAAACGGUGAGGAAGGUGGGGAUGACGUCAAAUCAUCACGGCCCUUACGUCCAGGGCCACACACGUGCUACAAUGGCGCAUACAAAGGGCAGCUACCCCGCGAGGGGAUGCGAAUCUCUAAAGUGCGUCUCAGUUCGGAUUGAAGUCUGCAACUCGACUUCAUGAAGCUGGAAUCGCUAGUAAUCGCGCAUCAGCCAUGGCGCGGUGAAUACGUUCCCGGGCCUUGUACACACCGCCCGU